rnacentral:lncRNA from 1 species
GGGAUGGGGAGGGCAUUUCUGGCACAUUGGGAGCAGCUGCUGGGGGCUGGCAGUGCUCCCCUGCCCUGAGACCUGCAGCAGCACGGUGCUGAAGUAGCUGUGGUUCCUGAGGUCUGUGUGGUCCAGGCUCACUCUGUAGGAGAGAGGGGGAGAAAUCAGCUGCUCCUCGAGGAGAUCCGUCUCCAUCGCUCGUCCGGCUGCAUCCCUUCAUAAAUCUUCCCCGUAAGCCUGGGCUGGCGAUUGCUGGAAAAAAACAUCAGCACCUUCUCAGGCUGCCAUCUGUUUAUUUGGUUGGACUUGGAACUUGCUGAAAUGUCUUUCGAUGGAUGAAGCAACGGAGAGUAGAAGAACAGAGCCUGGCAGGCUGCUUGCUUUUAGGUACCCAGUUCAAUUCACUGAGCUGCUCUGAUGGGUUCUGAAGCGGUGCCCGUUGUGAGGCCACCAUUUGGAGUUUUUGGAGACCCUUCCCUUGCCCGUGGGCAUCUUGGGCUGAGCGUUUUGGAAUGAAGCUGCUCUCUCUGAUGGCACAGAGGGCAAAACAAAACAGAUCAUUUCCUCGGUUUAAUGUGAGCCAAUUAUGGCUCAUGGGCUGUUAACUUCAUCACCGCUCCUUCCAAGAAAGACGUUGGGUAAAAUGAACCAGCGCGGCUCCGCAUGCGCCCGGCGCAGCCUCAGCCCCGGCCAUUUAUCCCCACGGAUGGAAAAAAGCUAAAGCCUACGUCGCACAAAUGCCCUCUAAAGUAUCCAACCACUUGUUGUACAUCUGCUGACGGAUACCAACUGGAAAGGAGAUUAGCGCUCAGACUCCCGCGCUGGGCUGUCUGCUCUUCCUAAUGAGGACCAGAUUGCAGCCUACGCCAGCGCUGCACCUCCAGCGGAUGGCGGGGUGGGGAGGUGCCAGGGCGCGUGCCAGCAGUGUGGGACUGUGUGGGCUGCAGGACAGGGCUGGGUGCUGCUGGGACACGCAGUGGGGCCGGGGGUGGCAUGGGG